AACGCACAUUGCGCCCCUUGGUAUUCCUAGGGGCAUGCCUGUUCGAGCGUCAUAGUCCAUCCCUCAAGCCCUCUGGCUUGGUGUUGGGUGCUCGCCCGCGUCCGCGGGCGCACCUCAAAUUCGUAGGCGGCAGUCUGCCCGGCUUCAAGCGUAGUAAAGACUUGUUCUCUCGCUUUGGAAGUGCCAGUGGCCUGCCUGCCCCAAAACGCGCAAGCAACUUUUUCUAAUGGAUGACCUCGGAUCAGGUAGGGAUACCCGCUGAACUUAA
rnacentral:misc_RNA from 1 species